rnacentral:rRNA from 1 species
UACAGAGGUCCCAAGCGUUGUUCGGAUUCACUGGGCGGAAAGGGUGCGUAGGUGGUGAGGUAAGUCGGAUGUGAAAGCUCGGAGCUCAACUCCGAAAUGGCAUUGGAAACUACCUCGCUAGAGGAUCGGAGGGGAGACUGGAAUUCUCGGUGUAGCAGUGAAAUGCGUAGAUAUCGAGAGGAACACCAGUGGCGAAGGCGAGUCUCUGGACGAUUCCUGACGCUGAGGCACGAAAGCCAGGGGAGCAAACGGG